CUUCACCGAGCCCAGCCACAGCGGGCUUUCCGCGUCGCGGUCACGGCCGUAGGUGGCCAGCAGGGCCUGGGCCUC
rnacentral:antisense_RNA from 1 species